GGGGUUGUGGCUCAAGUGGUAGAGCGCUCGCCUAGCACACAUGAGGCACUGAGUUCAAUCCUCAGCACCACA
rnacentral:tRNA from 1 species